CGGAUCCCAUCAGAACUCUGCAGUUAAGCGUGCUUGGGCGAGAGUAGUACUAGGAUGGGUGACCUCCUGGGAAGUACUCGUGUUGCACCCC
rnacentral:rRNA from 1 species